UACGUAGGGCGCAAGCGUUGUCCGGAUUUACUGGGCGUAAAGCGCGCGCAGGCGGCAGUGUAAGUAAGGUGUGAAAUCUCCCUGCUCAACGGGGAGGGUGCAUUUUAGACUGCACAGCUAGAGGUCGGUAGAGGGGGGUGGAAUUGCUGGUGUAGCGGUGAAAUGCGUAGAGAUCAGCAGGAACACCCGUGGCGAAGGCGGCCCCCUGGGCCGUACCUGACGCUGAGGCGCGAAGGCUAGGGGAGCGAACGGG
rnacentral:rRNA from 1 species